rnacentral:rRNA from 1 species
UAGAGUUUGAUCAUGGCUCAGAUUGAACGCUGGCGGCAGGCUUAACACAUGCAAGUCGAGCGGAAACGAAAAGUAGCUUGCUACUUUGGCGUCGAGCGGCGGACGGGUGAGUAAUGCCUGGGAAUAUGCCCUGAUGUGGGGGAUAACUAUUGGAAACGAUAGCUAAUACCGCAUAAUCUCUUCGGAGCAAAGAGGGGGACCUUCGGGCCUCUCGCGUCAGGAUUAGCCCAGGUGGGAUUAGCUAGUUGGUGAGGUAACUGCUCACCAAGGCGACGAUCCCUAGCUGGUCUGAGAGGAUGAUCAGCCACACUGGAACUGAGACACGGUCCAGACUCCUACGGGAGGCAGCAGUGGGGAAUAUUGCACAAUGGGCGCAAGCCUGAUGCAGCCAUGCCGCGUGUAUGAAGAAGGCCUUCGGGUUGUAAAGUACUUUCAGUCGUGAGGAAGGCGUAUAGUUUAAUAGACUAUAUGUUUGACGUUAGCGACAGAAGAAGCACCGGCUAACUCCGUGCCAGCAGCCGCGGUAAUACGGAGGGUGCGAGCGUUAAUCGGAAUUACUGGGCGUAAAGCGCAUGCAGGUGGUAAGUUAAGUCAGAUGUGAAAGCCCGGGGCUCAACCUCGGAACAGCAUUUGAGACUGGCUUACUAGAGUACUGUAGAGGGGGGUAGAAUUUCA